rnacentral:rRNA from 1 species
GACGAACGCUGGCGGCGUGCUUAACACAUGCAAGUCGAACGGUGAAGCGCCUUCCUUUUUGGUGGGUGUGGAUGAGUGGCGAACGGGUGAGUAACACGUGAGUAACCUGCCCCCUUCUUCUGGAUAACCGCAUGAAAGUGUGGCUAAUACGGGAUAUUCUGGGUCUGUCGCAUGAUGGGUCUGGGAAAGAUAUUGUUUCGGUGGGGGAUGGGCUCGCGGCCUAUCAGCUUGUUGGUGGGGUGAUGGCCUACCAAGGCGGUGACGGGUAGCCGGCCUGAGAGGGUGGACGGUCACACUGGGGAUGAGACACGGCCCAGACUCCUACGGGAGGCAGCAGUGGGGAAUAUUGCACAAUGGGCGCAAGCCUGAUGCAGCGACGCCGCGUGAGGGAUGGAGGCCUUCGGGUUGUGAACCUCUUUCGCCAGUGAAGCAGGCCUGCCUCGUUUGUGGGUGGGUUGACGGUAGCUGGAGAAGAAGCGCCGGCUAACUACGUG